rnacentral:rRNA from 1 species
UACGUAGGGGCCUAGCGUUGUCCGGAUUUAUUGGGCGUAAAGAGCUCGUAGGCGGUUCGGUAAGUCAGGUGUGAAAUCUCCACGCUCAACGUGGAGGCGCCACCUGAAACUGCCGUGACUCGAGUCCGGUAGGGGAGUGUGGAAUUCCCGGUGUAGCGGUGAAAUGCGCAGAUAUCGUAAGGAAGACCAGUGGCGAAGGCGGGUCUCUGGACAGUUCCUGACGCUGAGGCACGAAGGCCAGGGGAGCAAACGGG